CUGAAAGCGUGGUUCGCAUGAUCAAACGCAUGGUCUCUGUUCUCUGGCAGAUUUACUGGUUUCUAUCAUUGUGGUUAUUUGAUGUCAUUUGGUGACAUUUUUAUCAUUGCAUCAGUUGAAGUCUUUCUUGACUAUAUUUUGGCCUGUGAUUGUGAGACAUUGUGAUUCAUGCCCUUUCUUCACGUCAUUGGUUGAUCUGUCAUCUUUCCAACUUGUGCGAGUGGUUAUUACUCUUUGUUUCUGUUGCGUAUGUGUGUCCUUUUAUUUCCCAGG